AAUGAAACAACAUUACAAAACAGGGAUCACCAGGUGCAAAUUCUCAAGGGCAGAAGGAACAAGGGCGUGAAAGGGGACAGCGAGGUGUGGGCUCCGAGCCUGAAGGAAGAGCAAGCAUAUGAAGCUGGAGUGGUGUCAGGGAACCACACCAUGGAGGACCCAGCAGCCAGUGUGUUUGCUGACACAAGAGUCCAGGAAGUGCAGGAGGAAAGAGAAGGAGGACAGCAAUCAGUCACAGCUCCUUCCAGCAUUCACACAGUGACUACCACUAAUUACGCCUCUCAGACCUGUGUUUGAGCAGACCUAUUUUCUCUAUGAAUUAAUGCCAAGUGACCUACUUUUCUACAUAUUAUUCAUUAUUUGUUCUGCUGUUUUAUCGAUUUUGAGACUGUUGUGCUACACAGGAAUAAAAAAAAAUCCAAUACAAUAAAACUCCUCUCAUUGAAAAUAAUAUAGCCACACCAUGAAAUAUAAAUUUAUUUUUUCUUUAUGAAAAGAUAGCAUCUGUAGACUACAUUUAGGCUGUGGGAAUUAGCUGAAGGCUGCUUCGUUGGAUUAAUAAAAACAAAAAGAAAUAUAAAUAUGUUAAUGUUUAGACAUGAAACCUAAGAUAAAAUAAUAGACUACAUUUCUAAGUUUUAAAACUUGUUUGCUUAUAAUAUUCUAGAGAUAUUUAUUUCAUAAAAGAGCACAAUGUUAGUUUUACAAGACUAUAUGUAUUUUCUAUUUAUAUUCCUCUUGU
rnacentral:lncRNA from 1 species